AACGCGAAGAACCUUACCUGGGUUAAAUCCCAGUUGUAAGCCUCAGAGAUGAGGCCCCCUCGCAAGAGGCGGCUGGGAAGGUGCUGCAUGGCUGUCGUCAGCUCGUGUCGUGAGAUGUUGGGUUAAGUCCCGCAACGAGCGCAACCCUUACCACUAGUUGCCAGCAUUAAGUUGGGCACUCUAGCGGAACUGCCGGUGAUAAACCGGAGGAAGGUGGGGAUGACGUCAAGUCAUCAUGGCCUCUAUGUCCAGGGCUACACACGUGCUACAAUGGCCGGUACAAACCGCUGCGAACUCGCGAGAGGGAGCCAAUCGGAAAAAGCCGGUCUCAGUUCGGAUUGGAGUCUGCAACUCGACUCCAUGAAGUUGGAAUCGCUAGUAAUCGCAGAUCAGCACGCUGCGGUGAAUACGUUCCCGGGUCUUGUACACACGC
rnacentral:rRNA from 1 species